UACCGGCACGGGAGUCUCCGGAUGCAAAGGCUUCGCCAAUCCUCUUUCACGGUUAGGGUUCCUUCUUUAGUUAACCUGCAUAAAAAAGUACGGUGAACACAAUGAUCAGAAAAUUGAGUGAAACGGGAAGCAAAAAGGAUUUUUAGGUUUUGGUCGUGGCAUUUCCGUCAGGCUAUACCUGCAGUUUUUGGCUCACCUACCGUCCCUCUUGCUUUGAUUUGGCCACAGGAAU
rnacentral:lncRNA from 1 species